rnacentral:rRNA from 1 species
CCCAGACUCUACGGAGGCAGCAGUGGGGAUAUUGCACAAUGGGGGAAACCUGAUGCAGCGACGCCGCGUGGAGGAAGAAGGUUUUCGGAUUGUAAACUCCUGUCGUUAGGGACGAUAAUGACGGUACCUAACAAGAAAGCACCGGCUAACUACGUGCCAGCAGCCGCGGUAAAACGUAGGGUGCAAGCGUUGUCCGGAAUUACUGGGUGUAAAGGGAGCGCAGGCGGACCGGCAAGUUGGAAGUGAAAACUAUGGGCUCAACCCAUAAAUUGCUUUCAAAACUGCUGGCCUUGAGUAGUGCAGAGGUAGGUGGAAUUCCCGGUGUAGCGGUGGAAUGCGUAGAUAUCGGGAGGAACACCAGUGGCGAAGGCGACCUACUGGGCACCAACUGACGCUGAGGCUCGAAAGCAUGGGUAGCAAACAGGAUUAGAUACCCUGGUAGUCCAUGCCGUAAACGAUGAUUACUAGGUGUUGGAGGAUUGACCCCUUCAGUGCCGCAGUUAACACAAUAAGUAAUCCACCUGGGGAGUACGACCGCAAGGUUGAAACUCAAAGGAAUUGACGGGGGCCCGCACAAGCAGUGGAGUAUGUGGUUUAAUUCGAAGCAACGCGAAGAACCUUACCAGGUCUUGACAUCCGAUGCAUAGUGCAGAGAUGCAUGAAGUCCUUCGGGACAUCGAGACAGGUGGUGCAUGGUUGUCGUCAGCUCGUGUCGUGAGAUGUUGGGUUAAGUCCCGCAACGAGCGCAACCCUUAUUGCCAGUUACUACGCAAGAGGACUCUGGCGAGACUGCCGUUGACAAAACGGAGGAAGGUGGGGAUGACGUCAAAUCAUCAUGCCCUUUAUGACCUGGGCUACACACGUACUACAAUGGCGUUUAACAAAGAGAAGCAAGACCGCGAGGUGGAGCAAAACUCAAAAACAACGUCUCAGUUCAGAUUGCAGGCUGCAACUCGCCUGCAUGAAGUCGAAUUGCUAGUAAUCGCGGAUCAG